GAUGAACGCUAGCGGCAGGCUUAACACAUGCAAGUCGAGGGGUAUUGUAGCAAUACAAGAGACCGGCGCACGGGUGCGUAACGCGUAUGCAAUCUACCUUUUGCAGAGGGAUAGCCCAGAGAAAUUUGGAUUAAUACCUCAUAGUAUAAUUAUUUGGCAUCGAGUAAUUAUUAAAGUAACAACGGAAAAAGAUGAGCAAGCGUCCCAUUAGCUAGAUGGUAAGGUAACGGCUUACAAUGGGUACGAUGGGUAGGGGUCAUGAGAGGGAGAUCCCCCACACUGGUACUGAGACACGGACCAGACUCCUACGGGAGGCAGCAGUGAGGAAUAUUGGACAAUGGGCGCAAGCCUGAUCCAGCCAUGCCGCGUGCAGGAUGAAGGUCCUAUGGAUUGUAAACUGCUUUUAUACGAGAAGAAACACUUCCUCGUGAGGGAGCUUGACGGUAUCGUAAGAAUAAGGAUCGGCUAACUCCGUGCCAGCCGCCGCGGUAAUAC
rnacentral:rRNA from 1 species